GAUGAACGCUGGCGGCGUGCCUAAUACAUGCAAGUCGAGCGAACAGACGAGGAGCUUGCUCCUCUGACGUUAGCGGCGGACGGGUGAGUAACACGUGGAUAACCUACCUAUAAGACUGGGAUAACUUCGGGAAACCGGAGCUAAUACCGGAUAAUAUAUUGAACCGCAUGGUUCAAUAGUGAAAGACGGUUUUGCUGUCACUUAUAGAUGGAUCCGCGCCGCAUUAGCUAGUUGGUAAGGUAACGGCUUACCAAGGCGACGUUGCGUAGCCGACCUGAGAGGGUGAUCGGCCACACUGAGACUGAGACACGGUCCAGGCUCCGAGGGGAGGCAGCAGUAGGAAUUAUGCCGCAAUGGGCGAAAGCUUGACGGAGCAACGCCGCGUGAGUGAUAAAGGUUUUCGGAUCGUAAAACUCUGUUAUUAGGGAAGAACAAAUGUGUAAGUAACUAUGUACGUAUUGUCGGUACCUAUUCAGAAAGCCGCGGCUAACUACG
rnacentral:rRNA from 1 species